UAGAAAUCUGCAGCAGGAAUCGAACGUCUCGGGUCUAGCCCUGGUAGCAGACCUGCUCACUCCUCUUGCAACUAACUGGGGAUCAUUCAUUUCAUCGGAAGUGAGGUGACAGAACAUCAAAUGCACCAUCAGUGGUAACAGGACAGGUUCUUUAAAAGCAAAAGUUCUCACGCAAAUGAAAACUUGGUGGUAACAGAGCAGUUUCCAAGGUGGCAGGUGACGGCUGUAUAGCACCAUUCCCCUGAACCCAAAUCUGACAUUAUAUUUAUACAAGACUCAGUCAAGCUUUGAAAUGGAGUCAAAUUGAGGAAGAAGGGCCUGCUGAGCCUUACUCCUAAUCUGUGUUAUGAAUGACUUAAAGAAUGUGAAAAGAAAUGUUAGUACCCUUUAUUUGUUUUUCUAAAGAUUUGUUUAGUGUGUGUAUGUGUGUGUGCAUGUACGUGUGUACGUGUGCAUGUGUGCGUGUGUGUGUGUGUGUGUGUCCUGUCACUUUCCGAGUACUCCUUUGAGACGGGGUCUUUACCUGAACCUGAGGCUCAUCUCUUCUUGACUAAGCUAGAAGCCAGCAAACCUAGCCACUGCCUCUUGUCUCUUCCCUCUCCAGGCUGAGGUAAUGGAAGGUGGGAUGCCAGACUCCUUUGAUGAGUGCUGGGGUUCACACUCAGGGCCACACUAUCCUGCAGCAAGUGCCCUCAAGACCCAGGUCAUGUCUCUAGCCACCUUCUAUCUAUUUUAGUGUUUUUGUCCCAUCUACUUUUGAAAGUUUAAAAUGGACUGGCUACUGUAUAUUAAGUCAAAAGACUUUUAUGUAUUACAUUUCUGCGUUUAAAAUUGGAGUCCAAAAUGUCGCAGCGCCCGCCACGGCACCAUCACCUGGAGGAGUUUAGACUUCAGAAUCAAGGUUCCUACCCCACGAUAUGCAGUCAGUGUCUGCCUUUGUACUAGCUGCCUGCCGAAGACUGGGCGCAUCCCAGCCUGAAGAACACUGAUCUUCAUGGGCUCUGUCUGGGCACAUUUGGCCAUGAUACAGAACUUGAUUCACCAAUGAAUCACCUUUAUGUUAAUUGUUAUACACAGGGGAAAAAGGGACCGCAUUGCUCCUGGAUCUCUGCAUCCCCAAACUUAACCAGCUUCUAGUAGAAAACAAAACAUUUUUAAAAGCCAUCUACACUGAAUACCUGUAGACUUACCCCUCAUUGUGCUCCACACAGAAUACAGAAUAACAAGUCUUUCCACCACACCGGGGUGCUAUCAGUAAUCUAGAGAUUCCUUAGAACUUAAAGUUAUACUGUAAAUUUAAAUUACUGAUUAUUUAAAGCAUUAGAAAAUAUGAAUACAUGGUGUGUAAACACUAUAUAAUACACUUAUACAAUCUAAGAUUUGGAUAUUUCAGAGGAACCCUAAAACUAGCCCUCCCGUUUGAGGGGUGACAAUAUAUGUGUGAAGAAAAUAGCACUCCUCGAAGAGCCCCAGUUCAUCUAUGAAAGAAACUGGCUUGAAAUGAGUGUGUUGGGGUCUUCUCUAGGAAUGUGCUCUCUGAGGCAGUAGAGGGAGCACAAGAGUGCUUAGGACAGCCAUUGUACACAGGGCGCUCCAAAGCAUGACAGAUUUUUAAACUGCAGUAUAUGUUUGCAUUGGAAGUAGCCCGUUACGCCAUUCCAAACAAAACAAAACGAAAAAGCUAACAAACACACUGCCUACCCGAUUACAGCAGCUAAAUAAUUGAACAGAUUGCAAAUUACAUAAAAUAAAAGAUACAAGAUAUACUCAUUUCAAGUUCUAGGCUUGCAUUCUUCCAGUGGACUUCAAGAAUCCUGCUUAGAAAAGGUACUUUAUUGCCAAGAAUGCACAAAGCCCUUCCCCCCCCCCCCACCCAGUUUGAUGCUCUGGGUGUGGCUGGCACACACCUGUAAUGUGGACUGGGGAAUUCCAAAUUGUUGUCCCUGAACUAUGUAGCAAGUUCAAGGAUAGCCUAGGAUAGGUGGGAUGUUGUCUUAGGGAAAAAAAAAAGUAAAAAGUCUUCCUGGCCUGGUGACGUACCUCAAAGGUUAAAAGAACUGACCACCAAGCCUGAGGACCCAGGUUCAGUCCCUGAAUCCACACGGUGGAAGGACAGACCAAGUCCUGCAAGUUUUCCUCUGACUUCCCUCACAGUAAGUAAAUGCACAUGAUAAAAUUUAGUUAAUAAAAGGAAAAGAUGUGUUGGUUUUCUCUAGUCAAAAAUAAUGUUAAUUUUUCAGAAUAGACAACCCAGAGAGAAACUAAAAUGGAUAACUAAGAAAGGAGCUACUUCAUCAAUAUUAUACCCAAUAAAUUGAUUUUGAGUCAGACGCAUUGGUUAAAAAGUAGAUGAUUUUUGUAAUACUUUCAAAAAUGUCUCAUUUUGGGCUGUUUCAACUGCUUGCCAUGAUGACCAUCAAUUUGAUUAUAUUUAUAUAAUAUUUCAUGCUGUUCAGAUUUCUCCUAUAUCAUACCCUCAAACACUUCCCUGGGGUGGCUAGGGCACAUAGGAAAAGCCAAGAUUGAAUCAGGAAGCUACACAGUGAGAGCUAGUUGACAUUUAGUAAGUAUCUAUUUAUUUAUUGUAGGUGAAUUUCAUGAGGUAGUCCAGGCUGGCCUAGAACCUCCAGUCCUCCGAUCAAAACCACAGGAGUGCUGGGAUGACAGCCUAGAUUGGUCUCCAGCUGAUAAGCAUGCAUUCAGUAAGAGAUGAGGAAUAGUGCACCAGGCCUGGAGCCUUGGACCCAGGGACCAGCAUUCGGGAAGUGGAGACAGAGAAAUCUAAAGCCCAAAGUCGACCUCAGCUACAUGGUGAGCUGCAGAGCACGUGGGACCUUAUAAUUAGAACCUGUGUCUUAAUUCUCGAGCUGUUCUUUCUGUCCUUGCUGUUCCUCGGGCACUAUUUGUUUUGCCUCUAGUACACAAUAUACACUAUACAUAGACCCCCCCCCUCCGCCGCCAAGAACACACACUGAGGAAAAUGGACUAUCCCACAGUUUACCAACCUUACCUUUCUAAAAUAUGUAUAUCUUUACCAGGGUGAGGAGGCUCACUGCUGACCGACCAGUAGCUCUCAGAAACACACAGCGCUGGAAGCACUGAGAAUCCAAGACGGCACUCACUGAAAUGUUGGGGUGGGGGUAGGAGAACAGUUGUAUAACUCUUGAGCAAGGUUAGGCUUACAAACUCCUAUUAGCCUUUCAGCUUUGUAAACCAGACCAAAUGUGAAGGCGAAAUGCAUCUUAUCUAAGUGCACCUCCUAUCAAAGAUCAUCGAAGUUGAAGUAGUAAACAUUUAUUUAUUCUUA